GCUCUACCCAGCUCAUAUGGUAUUCAUUUUAUUUGUGCUGGUCUUAAAAGUCUUACAUUUGAGAUACCCUGUGUACUCGACCGUCCAGUGCAAAAAUCUUGCAUGAGAUUUAAAUGAAAUAAAAACACUGGUGGUAAAGAAAAAGUCACAUGAGGAAUCAGAACUCAUCAGAAGCAGCACACAAAUACCAAACACCUUCAUGGUGACACACUCAACACAGAAAUAUUGAAUGUGACAACAUUAAACCCUAAUAACUGAGAAGAAUGAACGAAGAACAAACAGUUACUUAUAUGAGAAACCAUUCAUUGUGAAAGGAUGCACUUCUGACCUUCAGCAACACGGGAAACAAGCAAAGCUGUGAUAUCUGUGGUCAUGCUGAUGCUGAGGUGAACAUCACACUUUCAAGAACCUCAUCAUGAAAACAGACACAGGAAGACACAGAUGACUGUUUCCCAUAACGCACCUGAACCGGCUGAAAACAGGCCCAUUCUGACUGACUCCAUGAAUUCACUCGCCUCCCCAAAACACAUGUGUAGACAACUGAAUUGCUAAAACCUAAAAGAUUCUUUUAAAAUAUAAGUAUAUCAUAACAGAACACUUCGUUUUAAAUGUUGCAUUAAGCUUUUUAUUUUUUAUUAUUCACACUGUUUUAUUAUAAAUAGUGAUAUAUGUCUAUCAUAAUGUCCUCAAGUUAAACCAAACGUUUAUUUCUGACGGUUUGUAAUGAAGAGCUUUGAGUUUGUGUGUGCUUUGAUCAGAUAAAGCCCCAUCACGGAGCUUCUCCCAGAAUUCCUCACAGGAAACAGGAAGUGCAGCACAUCCUGUCCAUCAACCGGCCGCCCUGAGUCAUACUGACUUCAUACAUUAAUAUUCUAAAAAAUAUGAACACGUCCUCCCUUCUGUAUGAAAUGAAAUGUAAUAAAAUACAAGAAUUCCUUUACAACAAAUUUUUUUGUCAAAUAAAGUGCUUCUCAAUAAAGGUUUAUAAUGUA